GGAUUUGAAGAGGAUAGCUGCUAGAGUUAUUGAGAAGGCUAAGGAAAUCUGCACCAGUAAAUCGGUGAUUAUUUCUUGCUUGCUUAUGAUGGUUUACUAUACUUUCUCUCCAAUUUGUUCUACAAUGUUUAAUUUUCUACAUGUAUAAGAAUUGACUUUCAAGUAUCUAUGCUAACAAUUUUCAGUUCCAAGAUAGAUAAAGAAGUGAAUCCGUAGCCUAAACGUGGAUCUUUUUAAUUUUCCACUAAUUAGGAAUUGCUGCUUCUUCUUGGUCUGCUUGUAGAUUUUAAGAAAGCGGGAAACUUAAUUUGUUCGCACGAGAAUUACAUACAGAGGAGCCUGUCCUAUGAAAACAUCACUUGCCACUCAACCAAAAAAAAAAGAAAAAAUUUCUCCUUCGCAGUAAACUCAAGUGUUAGAAUGGAUGAUGGACCACUGGCAAACAAAAGUGCUUAGUGUAUCUUGAAAUUUGAACUAUGGCUGGCUUGAAGUGGACUUGUGUGCUUGUGGCCUCGAUGUUUAUCUGUUUAAGAGUCUGAUUAAUAUUGCUGUUGAUACUGUUAUCAAAGCAUAUUAUUUUUUUAAAUAUAUUAAUU
rnacentral:misc_RNA from 1 species